GUCGCACAGACAACCAGGAGGUUGGCUUAGAAGCAGCCACCCUUCGAAAGAGUGCGUAAUAGCUCACUGGUCUAGUGAUUCCGCGCCGACAAUGUAGCGGGGCGUCAAGCGUACCGCCGAAGUCGUGUCAUUGCGAUAUAUACCCCCAACGGGGAGUCGUGAUGGGUAGGGGAGCGUCGUGUGCCGGGUGAAGCAGCACCGGAAGGUAGUUGUGGACGGUUCACGAGUGAGAAUGCAGGCAUGAGUAGCGAUUCACACGUGAGAAACGUGUGCGCCGAUUGACUAAGGGUUCCUGGGUCAAGCUGAUCUGCCCAGGGUAAGUCGGGACCUAAGGCGAGGCCGACAGGCGUAGUCGAUGGAUAACCGGUUGAUAUUCCGGUACCCGCUGUGAAGCGUCAAACAUCGAAUCCAGUGAUGCUAAGCCCGUGAAGCCGUUCCGGACCCUUCGGGGAAAGGAAAGUGGUGGAGCCGGUGACCCGAUCUGGUAGUAGGUGAGUGAUGGGGUGACGCAGGAAGGUAGUCCAGCCCGGGCGGUGGUUGUCCCGGGGUAAGGGUG
rnacentral:ncRNA from 1 species